rfam:Gilliamella sp. R-53248 genome assembly, contig: Ga0061081_102
GUUUACCGCCGAGUAGGCGGUUUAGAAA